rnacentral:rRNA from 1 species
UAGCAGCCUCCUAGACAAUAGCCAAUCUCUAAGACGCCUGCAGAGAACGCACCCGCUUGAUGCAGCACUAAGUGGGUGGUAAACUCCAUCUAAAACUAAAUAUAACCAUGAGACCGAUAGUAAGCAAGUACCGUGAGGGAAAGUUGAAAAGAACUCUGAAUAGAGAGUUAAACAGUACGUGAAACUGCUUAGAGGUUAAGCCCGAUGAACCUGAAUAUCCGUUAUGGAAAAUUCAUCAUUAAAAUUAUAAUAUUUAAAUAAUAUUAUGAGGAUAGUGUGCAUUUUUUCCAUAUGACGACAUUGUAAUCUAUUAGCAUAUACCAAAUUUAUCAUAAAAUAUAACUUAUAGUUUAUUCCAAUUAAAUUGCUUGCAUUUUAACACAGAAUAAAUGUUAUUAAUUUGAUAAUGUGCUGAUAGAUUAAUAUGAUUACAGUGCGUUAAAUUUUCGGAAUUAUAUAACGGCAUUGAUUUUUGUGUUUAUUAUAUGCACUUGUAUGAUUAACAAUGCCAAAGAUUCAGGAAACACGGUCCCUUCGGGACCCGUCUUGAAACACUGACCAAGGAGUAUAACAUAUGUGCAAGUUCUUGGGAUAUAAACCUAAAAGCGUAAUUAACUUGACAAAUAAUGGGAUUAGUUUUAACCAUUUAUAGCUAAUUAACACACCCCCGGGGCGUUCUAUAUAGUUAUGUAUAAUUUAUAUUUAUAUUAUUUAUGCCUCUAACUGGAAUGUACCUUGAGCAUAUAUGCUGUGACCCGAAAGAUGGUGAACUAUACUUGAUCAGGUUGAAGUCAGGGCAAACCCUGAUUGAAGACCGAAUCAGUUCUGACGUGCAAAUCGAUUGUCAGAAUUGAGUAUAGGGGCGAAAGACCUAUCGAACCAUCAAGUAGCUGGUUCCUUCCGAAGUUUCCCUCAGGAUAGAUGGUGCAUUUUAAUAUUAUAUAAAAUAAUCUUAUCUGGUAAAGCGAAUGAUUAGAGGCCUUAGGGUCGAAACGAUCUUAACCUAUUCUCAAACUUUAAAUGGGUAAGAACUUUAACUUUCUUGAUAUGAAGUUCAAGGUUAUGAUAUAAUGUGCCCAGUGGGCCACUUUUGGUAAGCAGAACUGGCGCUGUGGGAUGAACCAAACGUAAUGUUACGGUGCCCAAAUUAACAACUCACGCAGAUACCAUGAAAGGCGUUGGUUGCUUAAAACAGCAGGACGGUGAUCAUGGAAGUCGAAAUCCGCUAAGGAGUGUGUAACAACUCACCUGCCGAAGCAACUAGCCCUUAAAAUGGAUGGCGCUGAACUUAAGUAAGAUGUAAGUUAAGUAUAUGAUUUAUAUUACUUGUGAUAUAAAUUUUGAAACUUUAGUGAGUAGGAGGGUACAAUGGUAUGCGUAGAAGUGUUUGGCGAUCUUGGUGGUAGUAGCAAAUAAUCGACUGAGACCUUGGAAGACUGAAGUGGAGAAGGGUUUCGUGUGAACAGUGGUUGAUCACGAGUUAGUCGGUCCUAAGUUCAAGGCGAAAGCCGAAAAUUUUCAAGUAAAACAAAAAUGCCAAAUUAUAUAAACAAAGCGAAAAUAAUACACUUGAAUAAUUUUGAACGAAAGGAAAUACGGUUCCAAUUCCGUAACCUGUUGAGUAUCCGUUUGUUAUUAAAUAUGGGCCUCGUGCUCAUCCUGGCAACAGGAACGACCAUAAAGAAGCCGUCGAGAGAUAUCGGAAGAGUUUUCUUUUCUGUUUUAUAGCUGUAUUACCGUGGAAGUCUUUCGCAGAGAGAUAUGGUAGAUGGGCUAGAAGAGCCGCAGCUGGUCUCUAAGGUGAAGAGUCUCUAGUCGAUAGAAUAAUGUAGGUAAGGGAAGUCAGCAAAUUAGAUCCGUAACUUCGGGAUAAGGAUUGGCUCUGAAGAUUGAGAUAGUCGGGCUUGAUUGGGAAACAAUAACAUGGUUUAUGUGCUCGUUCUGGGUAAAUAGAGUUUCUAGCAUUUAUGUUAGUUACUUGUUCCCCGGUGAGUUUAGUUACGUAACCAAUUGUGGAACUUUCCUGGUAAAAUUUUUAAUAAUACUAUUUGGGUUAAACCAAUUAGUUCUUAUUAAUUAUAACGAUUAUCAAUUAACAAUCAAUUCAGAACUGGAACGGACUUGGGGAAUCCGAUUGUCUAAUUAAAACAAAGCAUUGUGAUGGCCAUAGCGGGUGUCGACACAAUGUGAUUUCUGCCCAGUGCUCUGAAUGUCAAAGUGAAAAAAUUCAAGUAAGCGCUGGUCAACGGCGGGAGUAACUAUGACUCUCUAAGGUAGCCAAAUACCUCGUUAUCUAAUUAGUCAGUCACUUCCUAACUCUCGUCGAGUGCUGACGUGCCUACGAAUAAAGUGUUAAUUCUCUGAGUGAUUUUAGCUGUGAAAAAGUUAACCUGGAAUCUUUAAAAACGUACAGAAAGUUGGCCCAAGUCCUGAAGUGCGUGUGAUACACGAACGAAAGUUCAUGCAACGUGUCCUUUGGCUGCAGAUGGUAUUUAACUUAUUUGCAAAAGUACACGUGUAUAGCAAAUCAGCUGACUGGUGUCACCAGUCGUCGCCUACUCAGCUGGUGGAACAGCUGUUCCAGUGGUGUGUGUACUGGCUAAAUUGAAUCCGAUAACCACAACCAGUUUCGAAAUAGGUGGCGCCUUUACCCCUAUCGUAAAAAAUUUCUCCGCCAGAGGGCGUUAAUCAGUCCCAUAAAGCGCCAGCAGGUGGCGCUCUUUGCUCCCCCCUUCUGUGCCUGACAAUUACACACACACUCAUACAGAAAAGGCAAAAUCUUAAAGACACGUGCAGUAGCACGCAGUUACCAUGGGCAAAAACGAUAUGGAAGUGGAUAAUGUGGCUUUGCCCACUUCUAAGAAAAAUGGUUGGCAAACGCUGGUGCCUAAGAAGAAUGCAGGCAAGCGCAAGGAGCCACCUAACCUAGCUACGACUGUAAACCCCAAAGUACCCAAGGUACUAAAACACAUAAAG